GACGAACGCUGGCGGCGUGCUUAACACAUGCAAGUCGAACGGAAAGGCCUCAGCUUGCUGUGGUACUCGAGUGGCGAACGGGUGAGUAACACGUGGGUGAUCUGCCUUGCACUCUGGGAUAAGCUUGGGAAACUGGGUCUAAUACCGGAUAUGAAAUGCCUUUAGUGUGGGGUCUGGAAAGGUUUUUCGGUGCAAGAUGAGUUCGGGGCCUAUCAGCUUGUGUGUGGGGUAUUGGCCUACCAAGGCGUCUACGGGUAGCCGGCCCGGGAGGGUGGACGGCGACAUUGGGACUGCGGUACGGCCCAGUCGGCAACGGGAGGCAGUAGUGGGGAAUAUUGCACAAUGGGCGGAAGCCUGAUGAAGCGACGCCGCGUGGGGGAUGACGGCUUUCGGGUUGUAAACUGCUUUCGACAGGGACGAAGCUUUUUGUGCCGGUACCAGUAUAAGAAGAACCGCCUAACUACGU
rnacentral:rRNA from 1 species